CCUACGGGUGGCAGCAGUAGGGAAUAUUGCUCAAUGGGGGAAACCCUGAAGCAGCAACGCCGCGUGGAGGAAGAAGGUUUUCGGAUUGUAAACCCCUUUUGUUAGAGAAGAUAAUGACGGUAUCUAACGAAUAAGCACCGGCUAACUCCGUGCCAGCAGCCGGGGUUAUACGGAGGGUGCAAGGGUUAAUCGGAAUCACUGGGCGUAAAGAGCGCGUAGGCGGGGUAGCAAGUCAGAUGUGAAAUCCUAUGGCCUAACCAUAGAACUGCAUUUGAAACUGUUAUUCUAGAGUGUGGGAGAGGUAGGUGGAAUUCUUGGUGUAGGGGUAAAAUCCGUAGAGAUCAAGAGGAAUACUGAUUGCGAAGGCGACCUGCUGGAACAUGACUGACGCUGAUGCGCGAAAGCGUGGGGAGCGAACAGGAUUAGAUACCCGUGUAGUC
rnacentral:rRNA from 1 species